rnacentral:misc_RNA from 1 species
CGUCAUGUUUUUCAAAAAAAGAUGCUAAUAUGAUAAUACCUUUACUCUUAGCUAGUGAUAGCUAGGCCCUUAAAAAUUGGGUUAUAUAUUAUGAUCUUAAUUUCAUGAGUUUAUUUUCACCAUCUUUGCUUUUAAGUAUGUGAUUUACUUAAUUCUAUUUGGAUUUUGGAUAAAUAAAUAAAUAAAUAUGUAAGUAGAGCAUUAAUUAAGUGGUGUCUGUCGUGUGGUGUGGCCAGUCUUUAUUACUAGAUGGCAGUCAUUCCUAGAAGUCCUUGAACACUGGAAGGGACUGACUCAACAUGUGAAAAGAGGACCAUAUAUAAUCAAGAUGUUUGUUGAAAUGAUUCAAUCCCAUUAUUUUAAUUUUUUCCCCUUUGAUCGUGUUAAGUUUAACAAUAAUAAAUUAGAAUCAAGAAUGUUUAAAGAAAAAAA